UACGUAGGGGGCAAGCGUUGUCCGGAAUCAUUGGGCGUAAAGCGCGCGUAGGCGGCCCGGUAAGUCCGCUGUGAAAGUCCAGGGCUCAACCCUGGAAAGCCGGUGGAUACUGCCGGGCUAGAGUCCGGAAGAGGCGGAGUGGAAUUCCUGGUGUAGCGGUGGAAUGCGCAGAUAUCAGGAGGAACACCGGUGGCGAAGGCGGGUCUCUGGGCCGAUACUGACGCUGAGAGCGAAAGCGUGGGGAGCAAACAGG
rnacentral:rRNA from 1 species